rnacentral:rRNA from 1 species
AUGGCAACAAAGCAUCACGUAUCGGCCGUGAUCUUUGAUCUGGACGACACCCUCCUGGACACUGAGAGUGUAACAAGGGGCGUCUUGAACGAUUUCCUGGCGACAUAUGGGAAGUCAGCAGACGCGGAGAAGGAGGAGGGGAGGCUGGGGCAGAGUCACAGCGAGUACGCGGCUGGGAUCAUCGCAGAUUACGGGCUGCCGCUCACUCUCGAAGAAUACUCAGAGGCAAUAUUCCCCUUGAAUCUCAAAAGCUGGCAGAAGGCAAAACCACUUCCAGGGGUCAGAAGACUUCUCAAGCAUCUUCACAAGAAUGGAGUACCGCUGGCACUUGCUUCCAACUCCGAGAUGAGAAUUAUCGGUCAAAAAAUUCUGAAACUAGAAGAACUGCAAGACUGUUUUUCCGUGGUUCUUGGUGUUGAUCAGGUUCCUCGUGGAAAACCUUGCCCUGACAUAUAUCUGGAAGCUGCAAACAGACUCGGUGUAAAUCCAUCAUCAUGCUUGGUCAUAGAAGAUUCUCUUGUUGGAGUCCGGGGUGCCAAGGCUUCUGGGGCAAAGGUAGUCGCUGUUCCGUCACUCCAAACUGAAAGGCAACAUUACUCAAUUGCCGAUCGUGUCCUCUGUUCACUGCUGGACUUCCAUCCUGAACUAUGGGGUCUUCCUCCAUUUGACGAUCGCAUUCAAGGUGCAUUGCCCAUGGAUCCAUUGUACUCAAAUGCUCACAUAGGAAAUGUGAUCUCAAACAAUAUUCAUAUGAUAGUAGCAGGUGAACAUACCUACGACUCUGUUCCUGGCCAAUUAUCGGGAAUUGUUUUUGGUCGGGCCAAGUUAGAACCACAUGGAGUAUCUAAGGUGGUUGUCAGCAUUGGGUGGGACAUUUCGCCCCCGGCUGUUGGAAGAGUGAUGCACAUAUGUUUUCUUGAUCCCUGCUGCAAUGCCAAAUCAGGGGAGCCACUUGAGCUACUGUUAGUUGGUUACAUCCGGGAGCUCCAAAGCACGGGAAGUACUACAUCUCAAGCACUAAGCAUUACUGAGGAAGACCAAAGCAUCGCGAGGGAUGCACUGGACCUCCCAGCUUUCUCAGAACUACAGGAGCUCACGCUCUUCAGUGCGCCUGGGAAGGAACCAUUUGAAUGA